CAGUCGCCACGGUAAUACGUAGGGUGCGAGCGUUAAUCGGAAUUACUGGGCGUAAAGCGUGCGCAGGCGGUUGUGUAAGACAGGUGUGAAAUCCCCGGGCUUAACCUGGGAACUGCGCUUGUGACUGCACAGCUAGAGUAUGGCAGAGGGGGGUGGAAUUCCACGUGUAGCAGUGAAAUGCGUAGAGAUGUGGAGGAACACCGAUGGCGAAGGCAGCCCCCUGGGCCAAUACUGACGCUCAUGCACGAAAGCGUGGGGAGCAAACAGGAUAGAUACCCCGGUAGUCCCUGUCUCUUAUACA
rnacentral:rRNA from 1 species